AUGGCUGCUGGCGGCAGAAUGAUGGAGAAGGAGCGGGAGAAGCAGGAGAUGCUCGGCCGCGCUAGCGCCAGUGAGAUCUUCCAGCGUGCGCCGACGGACAAGCCGGCAUUCACGCUGGCCCAGAUCAAGAAGGCAAUCCCGCCUCACUGCUUGCAGUGCUCGGUGAUCAGGUCCUUCUCCUAUGUGGUCUAUGACCUUGUCAUCAUCGCGUCCCUCCUAUACGCCGCGUUGGUCUGGAUCCCAACACUCCCGAGCAUGCAACAGUUGGGCGCCUGUCAGCUCUACUGGGUCAUGUAG
rnacentral:rRNA from 1 species